UGCUAAUACCACAUCAGCUGUCUACAAAUGCAGUAUGCUAACACAAAGCUAACAUAGAAGGCCCCCAGACCCAGAAUGAUGUUAAAGGUGAGCGUAUGUGGAUUCAAGUCGAGCAGCCAAAGCUUGAUUUUCAACAGGAUAGUGUGAAACAUGUCCUGGACAAGUGAAGGAUGAAAGAAGAUGUGUGAGGCCUAAAAAACUAUCUGCAGCAGCAUGAACAGUAUCUGAAAGUCAUGUCCUCAAGGAAUAGGGAAAAAAGUCCACCUGACACAGGACCUGGGAGAUACAUCUGAUCCUUCAGUUGAUCCAUCUGCUGUUCACUGAAGUCUCAUCAGAACUGGCCUCAGUGGAAGGAUGGUUGUCAAGAAGCUGUUCUCAAGGAAGGGAAACAGGUAGAAAAGGCUGAGGGUCAAAUCUUUGAGUACAGCUGGAGCCAGACAGUUAAGAAACGCAACUUUUCCUCUGAUGAAAGAUACGUCGUUCCUUCACACAACGGGCGAACUUUCUUGUUAAUCUUGCAAGAGGCACUUUGAGCUGAUGUGUGCAUGUUUGCCGAGUCUGGAAGUGAAAGCCGUGUUACCUUGAAAGUCUGU